GGAAAUGAGAAUAGUAACGUUGUAAUUCAAACAAGCAAGAAAGCAAUUCUUUCUUGAUUUAGAAAUUUCAAAUAACAGAAUGAACGAAAUUUGCUCAAUAUCUCAACAAGCAUGAAGCUUGACCUUUUGUUCAAGAAAUUCGAAGAAGCAGAAGCUUAAUCCGAUUUUUGCGGAUCUAACGAAGUAUGUUGUAACCUUUUUCCAAGGAUAUCAUACGGAUUUUCCUUACUCCAGGUAUGUUAAGGCUAAUCCUUCUUUCUUUGAGCAUGAUCCAAGUAACGAUACGUAAACGUAAUGUUAUUCCAUAAAUGGUUCUACUCUUAGCAGUUAAGGAUUUAUCUUUUCAAGUCGUUCUAUCCUUCCAAUAGCUUUGUGGAAGUAUAAUUCUGUGUUUUAAACAUCUUAUGCUCCAGUUAUCAAGAAGAGGUAAUUAAGAAAAUGAAGGAGAUUUCCUUUUAUAGGUUGCAGGUAUUUAAGUAUAUGAUUAGCAUUUAUGAUCCAUCACAAAUGGAAGCUAAGAAAUUUUUAAGUAUAGGAUAUGGUUCUGGACAGUUUUGGCAAAUUAAAACAUGAAUUAUUAACAAACAAAGGAAGUGCAAUAUAUUGAUACUUUUUUAUCUUCGUAGAAUGCCUUUAUGCCACUUAGAUAAAUGGAGAAGUAUGCAAAGAUAAUGUACGAAUGUGUGUAGUAUUGUCACUAAGGUAAUAGGAAAAACAAAUAGAUCUUUGCACAUAAACAUCAAAUAACCCUUUGUAAACUAAAUUGUUCUGAUUGACCUGUUAUGUGUCCAUAUGUGUGUGUAUUUCGGGAAACAUGACCACAACUUUAUGACCCAGUGAAUAUUGAAAUAAUGUUUUUUGAAUUAUCAGAAGUAACUUGUAUAGCUUUUAAGAUAAUGCAAAUAAGCACGUUGGAUUUCUGAUAUUCAAGCAUGUCUAAGUAUGUUCCUAAGUCUCGAUCGAGGUAUUUAAUAAAGAUGUUAACGUUCAUAAUAUAGUAAUACAUGCAUAUGUAUUUACCACCGAGCUAUGGCCGGUGGGCAGUUACAUAUUUACCACUGUGCUACGCCUGGUUGGACAGACAUGCAUUUACCACUGGGCUAUGGCCGGUCGGACAGUUACCACCGGUUGGGCAGCUAUGUAUCAUUAUUUACCACCGGUUGGGUAGUUACAUAUUUACUUCCGAGCUACGGCUGGUCGGACGUCAUAUAUUUACCACCGUGCUACGACCGAUCGGACAGUAACCACUGAUCAGUUGGGUAGUUAACGUCACGAAAGUGAGGUAACUAGAACUAUUGUAUUGUUGUUUUAUUUAUAUAUAUGACAUGGAUUUUAUUCUAUAUGUUAUGGUCCUCAGCGGCAAGUCAGAAGUUAUAAGUUGACUCUUAUCUUUCCCCGAGAUAAUAUCUUAUUAUCAUUACGUUUUGUUGUUACCUUACAUACUCGGUACAUUCUUCGUACUGACGCCCUUUUUUGGGGCGUUGUGUUUCAUGCCACAUAGGUGUAGAUAGGCGAGGUGAGGAUCAUCCGUUGUAGGCUGCCUCCAGAUAUCAACUUUUGGUUGGUGAGCUCCACAUCAUCCUGGAGUACCGAGUCACGUUCUAUAUAUGUUACUUUGUUUUAUAAGGAUGUUAGGGACCCUGUCCCGACUUAUAUGUUAUGGUCAUAUUUUCUUAGAGGUUUUGUAGACAGUGUCAUGUGUAUAGCUUUAGGUAUGACAUGUCAACGGCCUUGUCGGCCCCUAUAUAUCUAUAUAAAUGCUUUUGAAUUAGUUACGUGAGUUAAGUUCUAAUAUUGUUAAUUACAUAUAUAGAUGUGGCCUAUCAUGGCCCGUGACGAGAUUUAUAGAGAAAAAAAAGGAAUAAGGUACGUGGCGCUUGGCUGAGUAGACAUCGGGUGCCAGUCGUGGCCCUCUAAUAUGGGUCAUGACAAAGUGGUAUCAGAACAGUUUUAUCCUAGGGUUGUCUGCAAGUCGUGUCUAGUAGAGUCUUGUUUAUAAAUGUAUUGUGCACCACAUUAUAUAAUCAAGAAACUACGGGGCAUUUAGGGACCGGUUACCCUUCCUUCUUGAUAUUAGAUCGUGCAAUAUCAUAGGGAACAAAGCCCUUGACCAUUGACUUGUUUUAUAUAUACAGCAAUGCCUAUGACCAGGAAUGCUACAACUAGUCAGAAGGGUAAGGUAGUGGUAGAUGAGGGAAUGAGUAAAGUACCAAUGUCUAGUGAGGGCUAGAGUGAGACCCCGAGGGGAAAUAUGACACCCUCGCAUAGUUCUCCGAUUUCGUCGGCACCCGAGGAGAUGACGAGGAACCCAGUACCUCCACCUAUUGUUCAGGAUGAGGAUAUGGAUAUACAGAGUGCAGUACAAUUAUUGACUAGGUUGGUAGCCGCUCAGGGUCAGCGCUAGGUAGGUACAAGUGUUGGUCACGUUAACAGGGUAAUUAGUGCAAGAGUUCGAGACUUCAUUAACCUGGACCCUCUAGUGUUUACCGGAUCCAACAAGAAUUAGGACCCGCAAAACUUUAUUGAUAGGAUGCAGAGGACUUUGAGGGUAAUGCAUGCAUCAGACACUAAGUCAGUAGAGUUGGCCUCAUACCGAUUGCGGGAUGUUGCGGUUUAGUGGUAUGAAACUUGGGAAUUGUCUAGAGGUAAAAAUGCAUCUCCAGCAGUAUGGGAAGAGUUCCAAGGGCUUUCCUGCGUCAUUACUUGCCGGUAGAGAUUCGUCAAGCAAGGGUAGACAGGUUCUUGGCUCUUAAAUAAGGGAAUAUGAGUGUGUGGGAGUAUAGUCUCCAGUUUUAUUCCUUGUCAAGAUAUGCCCCUUCGAUUGUGGCUGAAAUGAGUGACCAAAUCGAUUUGUGGUAGGACUUUGGCCGCACCUGAUUAAUGAAUGCUCCACGGCCGCUCUGCUUGAUGGUAUGGAUAUUUCCUACAUCCAAGCUUAUGCUCAGAAUUUGGAGGAUCGGAAACGACAGCAAUACGAGAAUCGUGAUGAGGGUCAACGUAAGAACGCCAGGUCUAUUAGGCGACCUGAGGAUUUUUCGGGCGAUCCUAUGUCACCAUAUCCAGUCGAAAGUAUCCGACUGUUGCAGAAGUCGUAUUAUGAGGGAUCUGUCUAUUCUAAAUCAGGUCAGGGCUCGAGAAUUUUGGGUUUUCAGAAUCUGAGGGAUUCAGCAGACGAGGACGCCUCCUCCACGGUGCAGUCAAUACGGUAGAGCUCAUUCUGGACAAUGUCGUCAGGGAUCUAAUGUAUACUAUACCUGUGAAGACCCUAGUCAUUACAUGAGGGAUUGUCCUAUGAAUGACAGAAGCAGGAUGGUUCAUCCCACCAAAUCUAUAACAAUUUCCUCCUCUUCAGUAUGCCCUCAAGAGCGAGGCCCUCAGGGAUCAGCUGGGAGAGGUAGAGGCAGAGGUGGAGCAUCUAGCUUCGGCGGUAGUCAGAACCGCAUAUAUGCUUUGGCAGGUUGUCAGGACCCAGAGGCUACACCGGAUGAUGUGUCAGGUAUUGUGAUUAUUGGUAAAGUUCGAUCUUAUUAACGCAAAUUGUCCAGUUAAUAUGAUUAAUAUAAGAGUAAGUUGACAUUACGCCUGAAGGGUUAAGGGAUAACAAGGCUAGCUUGAAAGCAAAGCAUGAAUCCGUUUAUUAAGAUUACAACUAAUAGGUGUCAACGCCUAGAAGAUAGAUUAACAAAAUCUUAGGUAACGACUGGAUUAGGAAGUAGUGUUAGGGACGGACGACGUCCUGACCCUGUGAGAGCCUGAUAUUUGUUUCAUUGGAGUUUAGCCCAGGAAGAUAUAUACAUUUAUAAUAGAUGGAUAUGUAUGUACAUCUUCAAAGUUUAUACAUUCGAGGACAAAUGUUUCUAAGGGGGGAAGGAUGUUACAUCUCGCAUUUUCGUACGUUAAAAGUUUCGUCUUCAGUUAAUUGACAUAGACUCGGGGGUGAGAUCGUCUUGACAUUAACGUACUUACGCUAUUUAUAACAAGCGAUAAAUAAGUAUUAUGAAGGAUAAAGGGGUAUACGGAUUAAAGAAAAUGAGUUUCGCUGAAAGUGGCCAAAUUGGAAUAAAAUACUAGUCGAGCGAUAAUACUCGAUAAUUAUGAACUAGUACCAUGCAAGGUACCAUAUGACCACGGUAGUAUAAUAUAUAAAGUAUAUAUGCAGUAUUUUAAAAUAAUAAAUAGAAUCUUAAGUAAUUUGUGAUAAUUUUUAAUUAUACGGGUAUUAAUUAAUUAUCGGGUAACAAAACAUUACCCGAUUAACUAAUAAGUGGAUAAAUAAUUAAUAAUUAACCCCCCCCCCCCACGUGGCAAAGAGCCACAAACCAAGAAGUGACUAAGUAGUCACUUAUGCCUAGGUGGCAACCUAGGCUUGAAGGGAACAAAUGACUAUCCAAAGUCUUGUUACAUUUCCUUAUGGAAAUGAGAACAGUAACGUUGUAAUUCAAACAAGCAAGAAAGCCAUUCUUUCUUGAUUUGGAAAUUUCAAAUAACAGAAUGAACGAAAUUUGCUCAGUAUCUUAACAAGCAUGAAGCUUGACGUUUUGUUCAAGAACUUCGAAAAAGCAGAAACUUAAUCCGAUUUUUGCGGUUCUAAUGAAGUACGAUAUAACCUUUUUCCAAGGAUAUCAUAUGGAUUUUCCCUACUCCGGUAUGUUAAGGCUAAUUCUUCUUUCUUUUAGCAUGAUCCAAGUAACGAUACGUAAAUGUAAUGUUAUUCCAUAAAUGGUUCUACUCUUAGCAGUUAAGGAUUUAUCUUUUCAAGUCUUUCCAUCCUUCCAAUAGUUUUGUGGAAGUAUAAUUGUGUGUUGUAAACAUAUUAUGCUCCAGUUAUCAAGAAGAGGUAAUUAAGAAAAUGAAGGAGAUUUUCUUUUAUAGGUUGCAGGUAUUAAUGUAUAUGAUUAGCAUUUAUGAGCCAUCACAAAUGGAAGCUAAGAAAUUUUUAAGUAUAGGAUAUGGUUCUGGACAAUUUUGGCAAUUUAAAACAUGAAUUAUUAACAAACAAAGGAAGUGCAAUAUAUUGAUACUUGUUUUAUCUUCGUAGAAUGCCUUUAUUCCUCUUAGAUAAAUGGAGAAGUAUGUCAAGAUAAUGUACGAAUGUGUGUAGUAUUGUAACUAAGGUAAUAGGAAUAACAAAUAGAUCUUUGCACAUAAACAUCAAAUAACCCUUUGUAAACUAAAUUGUUUUGAUUAACCUGUUAAGCUAUUAUGUCACAUAGCAAUUGUGUCUCUGUGUCCAUAUGUGUGUGUGUUUCGGGAAACAUGACCACAACUUUAUGACCCAGUGAAUAUUGAAAUAAUAUUUUUUGAAUUAUCGGAAGUAAUUUGUAUAGCUUUUAAGAUAAUUCAGAUAAGCACGUUGGAUUUCUGAUAUUCAAGCAUGUCUAAGUAUGUUCCUAAGUCUCUAUUAAGGUAUUUAAUAAAGAUGGUAAUGUUCAUAAUAUAGUAAUACAUGCAUAUGCAUUUACCACCGAGCUACGGCCGGUUGGGCAGUUACAUAUUUACUAUCGUGCUACGGCCGGUCGGGCAGUUAACACCAGUUGGGCAGUUAUGUAUCAUUAUUUACCACCGGUUGGGCAAUCACAUAUUUACUUUCGAGCUAUGGCCGGUCGGGCAGUCAUAUAUUUACUAUCGUGCUACGGCCUGUCGGGCAGUUACCACUGAUCAGUUGGGCAGUUAACAUCACGAAAAUGAGGUAACUAGAACUAUUGUAUUGUAGUUUUAUUUAUAUCUAUAAUAUGGAUUUUAUUCUAUAUGUUACGGCCCUCAGCGUCAAGUUAGAAGUUAUAAGUUGACUCUUAUCUUUCCCCGAGAUAAUAUCUUAUUAUCAUUACGUUUCGUUGUUACCUUACAUACUCGGUACAUUCUUCGUACUAACGCCCUUUUUUGGGGCGCUGUGUUUUAUGCCACACAGGUGUAGAUAGGCGAGGUGAGGAUCAUCUAUUGUAGGCUGCCUCCAGAUAUCAGCUUUUGGUUGGUGAGCUCCACAUCAUCCUAGAGUAUUGCCGAGUCAGGUUCUAUAUAUGUUACUUUGUUUUAUAAGGAUGUCAAGGACCCUGUCCCGACUUAUAUGUUAUGGUCAUGUUUUCUUAGAGGUUUUGAAGAAAGUGCCCUGUGUAUAGCUUUAGGUAUGACAUGUCAACGGUCUCGUCGGCCCCUAUGUAUCUAUAUAAAUCAUUUUGAAUUAGUUACGUGAGUUAAGUUCUAAUAUUGUUAAUUACAUAUAGAUGUGGCCUAUCAUGGCCCAUGACGAGAUUUAUAGAAAAAAGGGAAUAAGGUACGUGGUGCUCGGCUAAGUAGACACCGGAUGCCAGUCGUGGCCCUCUGAUAUGGGUCAUGAUAUGGUCCUUCAUGGACCCUAUUUGGACUGAGGUCAGCCGUUGAGUAGGUCCGUUGAGGUCGUCCUCGUCGGCUCUUACCUCAUCACAGUAGGCAUUGUGUAUCUUGUCCCAAGUGGUCAGAGGUAUUUCAUGAGGCGGCUUAGCAACUUUUUGGUCGCCCUUGACCCACUUAUUCUUAGCCCAUUUUGGAAAGCGGCUACCGCCAUCCUUUCAUAUACAUUUGGAAGGGUCAUUCUUAUACGGUUGAAUCGGGCAAGGAAGCCUUGGAGUCCCUCGCCAGGCGAUUGCUUAAUGGCAAAUAUGUCGUUCACCCUCGCCUGGGCUUUCUUAGCCCCGGCAUGGGCAGUGACGAACUUGUCUGCCAUCUCCUUGAAUGUUUUUAUGGAAUGCGCAUGUAGCUAUGAGUACCAAGUCAGCGCUCCCCUAGUUAGGGUUUCGCUAAAUUUCUUCAGCAAUAUGGACGACACUUGUUCUUUGGCGAGGUCAUUGCCUUUCACUGCAGUGACAUAGUGGGUCACAUGAUCCUCAGGGUCCAUCGUGACGUCGCAUAUUUUCAGGUACAAAUGCAUUUUGAAGGUUUUGGGUAUUGCGUGUGGUGGAACUUCGUUGUUGUAUGGUUGCUCAACAAACCGACCGACGUCCCUUUUUGGAAGAAGUUUUGGGGCGCCUGGUAUUUUGUCUACCCUUUCCUGAUGCUCUUUCAUUUGGUUACGGAGCAUUUUAUUCUCGUUCUACAUCUCUUCCAUUUUCCUCAUAUUGGUUGUGAGGGUGUUGUUACCAGCACCAAUAACAUUGUGAGUAAUACCUAUUACGGAGGGGGCAUGUUGCUCGUCAGCUGGUGGUGCAACGCAAACCCCUGCCUCUUCCCGGUUCGGCCAUUAAGAGGGCUCGACAAGGAAACUGGUUAACGUGUUUGUCAACCACGCCUCGAGCAAUUUUUUUACUGUCGCUGGUGCCUCUUCUGUUGUAGAUGUAGAGGCCCAUUUACCGUGCGAGGUCGUGAUGCUACCAUGAGGAGGAGGCGAGCUGUUUUGCCUGAGAGAGGUGUUUGGUGUCACCUCCUUGCCCUCUGUUUCAUUUGCUUUGUUGAUGGUAUGGAGGAGGUUGGUGGUGAGGUCAGCUAUCGCCUCCAUUUUUUCCUCUUUGUUGCCUUUCAUGUUAGAUUUGUGCACAAAAGGAAGUAUAGGGUUUUAGCAUUGUUUUUUUUUCGAUCUAGAAGAAACUAAAAUUUUAACUAGAAAAUGCCCACAUACGGCACCAAAUUAUUUUACCAAAAAGUACGAAACAUUUUCUUAAGUUAAUUAAAUAAGAGGAUGAUGGGUAAAUCCUAGUUAAACAUAAUAAAUCCUAGAUUUGAAAUAUAUUUAUACAAAUAACGUAGAAUUGCAUUUAAACUAAUUUAAUACAAUGGGUAUUAAAUGAUACUGCUACAAGUGAGUAGGAGGACAAUGAUAAGAAAUAAAUAUAUUAAAUGGCAAUAAAUGUAAAUUGAGAGAAUGAUUCACCCAAAUAUUGAAUGAGGUGGAUGAUUCUUCUCUCUGACAAUGAUGCAAGACAAAUUAACGUGGGAAUAUAGAGAGCUUUCUCGGAUUUGAUGCGAGAAAGUGUGGGAUAAACAACAAAUUGAAUUUUUAUGGAAAGGCAAUUCUUGUAAUUUACUUCAGAGUCAACUUUUCAUGAGAGUUCUUAUCAUAUAGAAUAAUACAUAUCCCUUUUUUUUUCUACCCUUUUCUUUAUAUGGGAUAUAUCCAUUAUCUAACAUAAAGUACAAGUGCAGAGAAUAUUCAACUAAAUAUUCUCCUAAAAUAUCCUGCUACGAAACUAGCUGUUAUGACCGACCAGAUUAUUCGACCUCGACCUCGGUUACUUAGCUCGCCAAUAAGUUCCUUCCAUCUCGAGUACGACCUCGGUCUAAUCGGCUCUUAGCAAUCUACCUUUGAGCAAGAUUCCCUUGGUUAGAUUUUGAUCCAUACACUAUUUUUGUUAUAUUUCUUCAUUGUAUCAUUUUCAUUAUUUUUCAUUUUCAUAAUGUCAUAUAUAUCUGUUCGGUUUUCUUUUUUAUUUCAGUAGGGUCUUGACCUGACCUCAUAAUUAUUCUACCGAGGAUAGGCUUGAUACUUACUGGUUACUACUGUUGUUUACUCAUGCUAUGCCUUCUUCACAUCUUUUUGUGCAGAUCUAGGUAUCUCUUACCAGCCUAGACACCAGUGAGUCGAGCUCGGAUUUGGAGACUUCAAGGUAUACUUGUCGGAGUCCGCAGAACUUGGAGUCAUCCUCUAUAUAGAUCUUUCUUCUUUUAUUAGAUAUUGUUAUAUUUGGAUGUUCAGUAUACUCUUGUAGAGCUUGUGACUUGGUAUCACCGGAUUUUGGGAGUUUUGUAUUGUUGAGUUGUGAAGUCCUUUUUAUGAUAGUUGGUGGUU
rnacentral:lncRNA from 1 species